UAGGGAAUCUUCGGCAAUGGGGGGAACCCUGACCGAGCAACGCCGCGUGAGUGAAGAAGGUUUUCGGAUCGUAAAGCUCUGUUGUUAAGGAAGAACGAGUGUGAGAAUGGAAAGUUCAUACUGUGACGGUAUCUAACCAGAAAGCCACGGCUAACUACGUGCCAGCAGCCGCGGUAAUACGUAGGUGGCAAGCGUUGUCCGGAUUUAUUGGGCGUAAAGCGAGCGCAGGCGGUCAAUUAAGUCUGAUGUGAAAGCCCCCGGCUCAACCGGGGAGGGUCAUUGGAAACUGGUUGACUUGAGUGCAGAAGAGGAGAGUGGAAUUCCCUGUGUAGCGGUGAAAUGCGUAGAUAUAUGGAGGAACACCAGUGGCGAAGGCGACUCUCUGGUCUGUAACUGACGCUGAGGCUCGAAAGCGUGGGUAGCAAACAGG
rnacentral:rRNA from 1 species